rnacentral:rRNA from 1 species
CUUGGUGACCAUAGCGGAGGGGUCACACCCUGCUCCAUUCCGAACCAGGAAGUUAAGCCCUCCCGCGCCGAUGGUACUGCCUGGGUAACUGGGUGGGAGAGUAGGUCAUUGCCAGGG